GACUGUGUAGCUUAGUGGUCUGAGUGUUAGGCUAGGACUCUGGAAGCCAGGGUUCAAAUCCCAGCUUGCCCA